UACAGAGGUCUCAAGCGUUGUUCGGAUUCAUUGGGCGUAAAGGGUGUGUAGGUGGCGCCGUAAGUCGGGUGUGAAAUUUCGGAGCUUAACUCCGAAACUGCAUUCGAUACUGCGGUGCUUUGAGGACUGGAGAGGAGACUGGAAUUCAUGGUGUAGCAGUGAAAUGCGUAGAGAUCAUGAGGAAGACCAGUGGCGAAGGCGGGUCUCUGGACAGUUCCUGACACUGAGACACGAAGGCCAGGGAGCAAACGGG
rnacentral:rRNA from 1 species